GAUGAACGCUAGCGGCAGGCCUAACACAUGCAAGUCGAGGGAGAAGCCUUUCGGGGCAGAAACCGGCGCACGGGUGCGUAACGCGUAUGCAACCUACCUUUCACAGGGGGAUAGCCCGAAGAAAUUUGGAUUAAUACCCCAUAAUAUUAUUGGAUGGCAUCAUUUGAUAAUUAAAAUUACGAUGGUGAAAGAUGGGCAUGCGUCCUAUUAGCUAGUUGGAGUGGUAACGGCACCCCAAGGCUACGAUAGGUAGGGGUCCUGAGAGGGAGAUCCCCCACACUGGUACUGAGACAGGGACCAGACUCCUACGGGAGGCAGCAGUGAGGAAUAUUGGUCAAUGGUCGGAAGACUGAACCAGCCAUGCCGCGUGCAGGAAGAAUGCCUUAUGGGUUGUAAACUGCUUUUAUAUGGGAAAGAAAUAAAGGAAGUACGUGUAC
rnacentral:rRNA from 1 species